GCCGGAGUGGCGAAAUUGGUAGACGCACUGGAUUCAAAAUCCAGCGGAGCAUUCUGUUCCAUGUGGGUUCGAAUCCCUCCUCCGGCA
rnacentral:tRNA from 1 species